UACGGGGGGAGCAAGCGUUGUUCGGAUUUACUGGGCGUAAAGGGCGCGUAGGCGGCCACCGCAAGUCGAUUGUGAAAUCUCCGGGCUUAACCCGGAAAGGUCAACCGAUACUGCGGGGCUAGAGUGCAGAAGGGGCAACUGGAAUUCGUCGGUGUAGCGGUGAAAUGCGCAGAUAUCAGGAGGAACACCGGUGGCGAAGGCGGUUCUCUGGGCAUGUCCUGACGCUGGAGGAGCGAAGGCGUGGGGAGCGAACGGG
rnacentral:rRNA from 1 species